UACAGCCAUAUCCAGUUGAAACACCAGUUUCUAUACGAUCACCAAAGUUAAGCGACAUUGAGCCUGGUUAGAACCUAGAUGAAUGACUGCUUGAGAAUGUCAGGUACUGUAAG